rnacentral:rRNA from 1 species
GACGAACGCUGGCGGCGUGCUUAACACAUGCAAGUCGAACGGCAAGGCCCUGCUUUUGUGGGGUGCUCGAGUGGCGAACGGGUGAGUAACACGUGAGUAACCUGCCCUUGACUUUGGUAUAACUUCAGGAAACUGGGGCUAAUACCGGAUAGGAGCUCCUGCUGCAUGGUGGGGGUUGGAUAGUUUCGGCGGUUGGGGAUGGACUCGCGGCUUAUCAGCUUGUUGGUGGGGUAGUGGCUUACCAAGGCUUUGACGGGUAGCCGGCCUGAGAGGGUGACCGGCCACAAUGGGACUGAGAGACGGCGCAGACUGCUACGGGAGGCAGCAGUGGGGAAUAUGGCACAAUGGGCCGGAGCCGGAGGCAGCAGCGCCGCGUGUGGGAUGACGGCCUUCGGGGUGUGAACCGCUUUCGCCUGUGACGAAGCGGGAGUGACGGUAAUGGAUAAAGAAGCACCGGCUAACUACGAG